rnacentral:rRNA from 1 species
UUUUGCACAAUGGGCGGAAGCCUGAUGCAGCGACGCCGCGUGAGGGAUGACGGCUNUCNNGUUGUNANCCUCUUUUAUCCAUGNNNNNGGCCAGGUUGUUGCCUGGUUGACGGUAGUGGUUGAAUAAGCGCCGGCUAACUACGUUCCAGCAGCCGCGGUAAGACGUAGGGCGCGAGCGUUGUCCGGAUUUAUUGGGCGUAAAGGGCUCGUAGGCGGCUCGUCGCGUCUGCCGUGAAAGACUACAGCUUAACUGUGGUUUUGCGGUGGAUACGGGCGGGCUUGAGGCCAGUAGGGGAGAUCGGAAUUCUACGUGUAGCGGUGAAAUGCGCAGAUAUGUGGAGGAACACCGGUGGCGAAGGCGGAUCUCUGGGCUGGUUCUGACGCUGAGGAGCGAAAGCAUGGGGAGCGAACAG